rnacentral:rRNA from 13 species
UAAGAGUAAGGGGCAACAGUCGUUCACCGUCCCACAACUGAAACAAUUCGAGGAAGAUUUAAUGUUUCUUCUCAAAGAUGAUCUUCGUGUGUGGGAGAAAGAUAUUUGUGCUCACAUUGCAGCUUAAUUUUUUACAUAAAUAAUUCUUUUAAUACUUAAAAAA